rnacentral:rRNA from 1 species
CCCUUAGACGUCCUGGGCCGCACGCGCGCUACAAUGACUCAUGCAACAAGUUCUUCCAAACUCGAAAGAGGUCAGGAAAUCUUUAUAAUGUGAGUCGUACUAGUAGGGAUUGAUCUUUGCAAUUCUGGAUCAUGAACGAGGAAUUCCUAGUAAGCAUAAGUCAUCAACUUGUGCUGAUUACGUCCCUGCCCUUUGUACACACCGCCCGUCGCUCCUACCGAUUGAAGUUUUCGGUGAGUUGACAGGAGGAUUUUUUUGAAACUGGUUCGCCAGUGGAUUUUAGAUCCAAAUGCCAACGAAUCGAUGGCUUUAGAGGAAGGAGAAGUCGUAACA